rnacentral:misc_RNA from 1 species
GAUGAAGAACGUAGCGAAAUGCGAUAAGUAAUGUGAAUUGCAGAAUUCAGUGAAUCAUCGAAUCUUUGAACGCACCUUGCGCCCUUUGGCCAUUCCGAAGGGCAUGCCUGUUUGAGUAUCAUGAACUCCUCAACUCUUUAUGGUUUUCCAUGAUGAGCUUGGACUUUGGGGGUUUUGCUGGCCUAUGGUCGGCUCCUCUAAAAUAAAUCAGCUUACCGGUGUUUGGUGGGUAUCAUGGGUGUGAUAACUAUCUACGCUUGUGGUUUUUCCACCAGGUAACCUUCGACAGCGGAGGUUCACUGGAGCUCAUAGAUGUCUCUCCUCAGCGAGGACAGCCCUUUGAAUGUUUGAUCUCAAAUCAGGUAGGACUACCCGCUGAACUUAAGCAUAUCAAUAAGCGGAGGA